UCAAUGCAACAGUAAGAAAAGUUCUACUACAGCACUCAACCAGGCUGCAGUGCACCAAUUUCUUUUAAAGUUUUGUAGCGGUGAGGUUAGUGUUCUCCAAUAAAAAAAAUCACGCUUACCGGUAUCUCAGGAGUGGAUGGUGUGGUGCUAGACCCUGUUCCCCACGCACUCCUCUUGCUGGUCACCAGGGGCGGAGUCUUGGUUGUCAUGGGGACGACGAGCCCCGUUUCGCUCACCGACCCAAAGCGUUUGUCUCCCUUGGCCUUGCUCUCGGCACUGCUGCUGCUCACGAUGCUGGAGUAGCUCGAGGACCGGCUGGAACUGGUCAGCCCGUCUGGCGAGAUGUUAGCGGGUCGGGUAAUCAAGUCAGCACUUUUCGUCUGAUGUUGCGCAAACUGGUCGGUCUGGAUAGAGAGCUCAGCAAAGUCGUCUGCAACAUAGAAUUGGCGGGAAUUAUGUUUUAUGGGAAAAUAUUUUACAUUGGAUUUACUGUCAUUAAUUGUGAACAUGAUGUUAUUAAAUUUAUGUAACAGAU